AGUGUUUGUGUGUGUUUUGUUGAACUUGUGGACAAAGACUUAAAGACAGGUGCAAAAUUAAACCUUCUUUUGUAAGCCAGGUUUCAUUAUUCAGUAUGGGAAUUUGAUGGUGAAAAAACUGCAUU
ensembl:snoRNA